rnacentral:rRNA from 1 species
UCGAGAAUCUUGGGCAAUGCACGAAAGUGUGACCCAGCGACGCCGCGUGGAGGAUGAAGGCCCUUUGGGUUGUAAACUCCUUUUAAGGGGGAAGAAUAAAUGACGGUACCCCUUGAAUAAGCCACGGCUAACUACGUGCCAGCAGCCGCGGUAAUACGUAGGUGGCAAGCGUUGUCCGGAUUUACUGGGCGUAAAGCGAACGCAGGCGGACUGUUAAGUAGGAAGUGAAAGGUUGGAGCUCAACUCCGACACUGCUCCCUAUACUGGCAGUCUUGAGUGGCGGAGAGGAAAAGGGAACGACACGUGUAGCGGUGAAAUGCGUUGAUAUGUGUCGGAACACCAAUGGCGAAAGCACUUUUCUGGACGCAAACUGACGCUGAGGUUCGAAAGCUAAGGUAGCAAACAGG